rnacentral:rRNA from 1 species
AGGAUAAACGCUGGCGGCGUGCCUAAUCAAUGCGAGUCGAACGGGCACCUUCGGGUGUCAGUGGCGUCCGGGUGAGUAACGCGUAGCUAACCUGCCCACAGAUGGGGGAUACCCGCCAGAAAUGGCGGCUAAUACCGCAUAGCGUGACGAGGGGUGACCUUCGGCACGAAAGCAGCGAUGUGUCUGUGGAGGGGGCUGCGUCCGAUUAGCUAGUCGGUGGGGUAACGGCCUACCGAGGCGACGAUCGGUAGCUGGU